UAUAUCAGCAAGCAAUUAUGAGGAAAUACCCAGGAAAUUGAAGCAAAUAGAACAAUGGGAGAUAAAUGAAUGAAUGAAUCUAAAAUUUUAAGAAGAGUAAGUUAAUCUGUGAUGGUUUCAGAACAAAUAAUUAAUGAAGUUUGCCUUGAAAUUCUAAAAACAAAAUACUAGUAUAAAUCUGCCUUGAUAAUGGUAAAUCUGAGUAGAAAAAAGUUCUCAAAUAGUCAAAGAAAAUAUUUAUAAUUCCACAACAACUCAAACUUUUUUUCUAAAAGAAUGGAAGAAUAAUAGCAAAAAAAAAAUUCAAGCAAACCUUAGGAAUAAUGCGUGCUGAAAUUUAGAGCAACACUUUUCUAAUAAUCAUCUGAGAAACUUAAGAAAAGAAAAAGUAGCAAAAAGUAAAAAGAGGGUGAGGAAUCAGAGGAGAGAGAAAAGAGAGUGAGGAAUCAGAGAAGAGAGAAAAGAGUGUGAAAUUUUAUAAUUAAUGUCAUGUCACAUUUUUCUUUUAAUUAAUGCCAUGUCAUAUUUUUCUUUUAUUUUUGGGGCUGAUAACGGUACAAAUCAAAGUUUAGUAUCUUAAGUUAACGGACAUCUAAUUUAAGUACCUUAACUGAAACUUUUGAAAGUUCAGUACCUUAACUGAAAUUUUUUUUCAAAGUUUAGUACCCUCCUGUGUACUUAACUCCCAAUUCACCCCUCAUCUGUCAUCUCCUCUUCUUUUAUGACUUUGUCGGUUUGUCCCCUUGAAUUUGUCCAUAAAUAGCCAUGGAAAAUUCAGUCCCAAAUUCGCAACAAAAAUCAGAAAAAAAAAUCAACAAUUUAAUCCUCCUCUCAUUUCUCUCGGAAACCACCUCACCACUACCUACAAACCACCUUUCCAAACACCACAAUCUUUCAGUCACAACUCGCCGGAAAACGCAGCCCAAAAGGGCCUAGUUUCACUUUCUAUCUCCUCUGUUUCGGGUCUCCUCCCACAACAUAAUCAGUCACACCACCACACGCCUAAUCCCCGGCACAACUCGCCCCACCUGCCGCGUCAAACUCCGACCACCCACACACCGCCGCGUCUCAGUAGUUUUUCCCCCUGCUCCCCUUGACGCUCGCACACCACCAGCACCCACCUUGUCUCAUUCCUUCGUUCAACCCCUCGUGCUCCUCCUCCGUUCGUUGCUGCGCCGCGCCGAGAACUUGCACCAUCGUCAUGUUGUCGUCGCGCCACCGACGCUGCUGUCCACUGCCCGUCCACCGGAGCCGGAACCCGAGCCUCGCUGCACUGUCGUCCCUGUUAAGAAGCAGAGGUACUGAUGAUGGAUGACGUAGCAGUGAGGAGUAAUAUAGUAUCUAGACUUAUAUACUCUUAUUGUUUUAAUUUCAGUUUACGUCAGACUAAGUUGGAUCAAGACUAAUGUUGGAUCCACAUUAUAUUUCAUAUUAUAAUAUGUUUAAGAUACGUUGCCUUC